CCUCAAACCCCCAGGACCCUGCUCACUGGAUCAGCCACACACUUCAUUCUGUUCCCUCUGUUGUUUUUCUCUCUCAGGUUCUACAUCUUUCAGACUCCUCCCUACCCUAAAUGCUGCAGUAGAAAGUUGGUUGCCACGUUGAUGUCGUUGUUGGACGCUCUGAGGGCAUCCUGAGCAUCUAUUCUGGAGAAGCCCAUCUCCAUCAAUCUGGCAACCUAUGGGAAACAGAAAUAAACACACAAACAUCAGAGAAAUGCUAACACGAAACUGAAACCACCAAAAGACAUCCAGCCAACUUGACACAACUGUGGAAAGCAUUGGAGUCAACAUGGUCCAGCAUCCCUGUGGAACGCUCCUGACACCUUGAAGAGGACACGGCACCAACAAAUAACUUAGCUGGCAACAUGGCUAUUGUGUCAGUAACCACAGCCAUCAUUAACCAUAGACUACAAAUACAAAGCCUUGGAUACAGGUUAAAGAUUCACAAUUGAGAGCAUCCUGUCGGGCUGUAUCACCUAGUACGGCAACUGCACCGCCCGCAACCCCAGGGCUCUCCAGAGUGUGAUGCGGUCUGCCCAACGCAUCACCAGUGUCAAACUACCUGCCUCUACCUACAGCACCUGAUGUUACAGAUCAUAAAGGACAACAACCACCCGAGCCACUGCCUGUUCACCCCGCUAUCAUCCAAAAGGCGAGAAUAAAGGCCAUGUACACUUUAGAAGAGCCCUGCCUGCACAUCAGUUCAGAAGACCUUUAGAAGAGCCCUGCCUGCACAUCAGUUCAGAAGACCUUUAGAAGAGCCCUGCCUGCACAUCAGUUCAGAAGACCUUUAGAAGAGCCCUGCCUGCACAUCAGUUCAGAAGACUG